UAUGUAAUCCGUGAAUGAAUUAUGAGUGUAUCGUCCAGAGCUAGCAGAACACGCACAAAGGAUGCAAGAGAAAAAAUCGUCAAUACACGUUACGACAAGAAUGGAGGACAACAUUCGAGAUUAUUCUGCUGGGUACACUUGCAGUUAUGGCAAAAACCAGAAGUUCCUCAUUAGGUUUCAUUAGGAGCAGCAUGAAUAGACGUGGAGUCGGAGAAGAACGGAGGACAGCAGAUCGGAGAAGACCGGAGUCGGAGAAAAAAUAUAGGAAAUCAAUUCCAGCAAAAGUCGUGCAGUCCUCCAUCAACAGCAUUAUAUCAACUGCAACUUAGCCCGAUCGCAGCCGUCCAGAUCUGUCUACAUCUAGGAUAAAACAGCCUUGAGAAAUUCAGAAAACUCUCAUCCGAUAUUUGGUUGCACGACGUCCCUAAAGUUUAGAAGAUAGACGCAGAAGUUUGAUUGAUGUCAUUGGGGGAAUCGUCAUCACCUGCUGAUCCAACACGAAUCUGUUUUGCUCAGGCUCUGUUCUAUAGAACAUCACUGAGAAGAGUGCGACUGUUAGAAACGGCACGCAUCCCAUAGAAAACGAGUACGUGGAAACACCAUCAGGAGCAGCAACCUAAUUAAUGCUAUUUUCAUGGAGCUGCCUACAAAAUUGUCAAGUUAUGUUUUCACAGAUUUUUUUUCUUCCGGAUAAGAGUUGAAUUGCCAUGAAUAAAAUGAAAACUUGCAUAUCGACAUUUUGUUUUCAUUAAUUAUCAUUAAUUAUAAAAUCAUAAAAUGAAAAUGUUCUGGCAAUCAUUUCAAAAACCCUCAUGAUUUUUAUUAAUUGCCGCACAUAAAACAUAUGCGGAUGAUUAAUAAUUAAUAAUAGGCCUGCACAUUAAAUUAUGUAUGCGUUGCACAUAGAAUAAAAGAGUCCGUAAA